rnacentral:sRNA from 1 species
GUAUAGCCCUGAUCGCAAUGGCAUCCUCUUGUAGCAUUUCUUUAAGCUACAAGAGAUAUAAUGGAGAGCAGGACAAAAC